rnacentral:rRNA from 1 species
ACGUAGGGGGCGAGCGUUAUUCGGAAUUACUGGGUGUAAAGGGUAUGUAGGCGGCCCUUCAAGUCGCGUGUCAAAGUCCAGUGCUCAACGCUGGGUGUGCACGCGAUACUGACGGGCUUGAGGGCUGGAGAGGUGAGCGGAAUUCCCGGUGUAGCGGUGAAAUGCGUAGAGAUGGGGAGGAACACCGGUGGCGAAGGCGGCUCACUGGACAGUUUCUGACGCUAAGACACGAAAGCGUGGGGAGCAAACAG